GAUGAACGCUGGCGGCGUGCCUAAUACAUGCAAGUCGAGCGAACGGACGAGAAGCUUGCUUCUCUGAUGUUAGCGGCGGACGGGUGAGUAACACGUGGAUAACCUACCUAUAAGACUGGGAUAACUUCGGGAAACCGGAGCUAAUACCGGAUAAUAUUUUGAACCGCAUGGUUCAAAAGUGAAAGACGGUCUUGCUGUCACUUAUAGAUGGAUCCGCGCUGCAUUAGCUAGCUGUUAAGGUAACGGCUUACCAAGGCAACGAUGCAUAGCCGACCUGAGAGGGGGAUCGGCCACACUGGAACUGAGACACGGUCCAGACUCCUACGGGAGGCAGCAGUAGGGAAUCUUCCGCAAUGGGCGAAAGCCUGACGGAGCACCGCCGGGUGAGUGAUGAAGGUCUUCGGAUCGUAAAACUCUGUUAUUAGGGAAGAACAUAUGUGUAAGGAACUGUGCACAUAUUGACGGUACCUACUCAGAAAGCCACGGCUAACUACGUG
rnacentral:rRNA from 1 species